rnacentral:tRNA from 1 species
GCCCCGGUAGACCAACGGCAGAGUCACGACCCUCAAAAUGUCGGCAGUGUGGGUUCGAGUCCCACCCGGGGCA